rnacentral:rRNA from 1 species
GAUGAACGCUAGCGGCAGGCCUAAUACAUGCAAGUCGGACGGGAUUCAGGAGCUUGCUUCUGAUGAGAGUGGCGCACGGGUGCGUAACACGUAUGUAACCUACCUUUAUCAGGGGGAUAGCCUCUCGAAAGAGAGAUUAAGCCCGCAUAAAAUCACAGCACAGCAUUGUGUAAUGAUCAAAUAUUUAUAGGAUAAAGAUGGGCAUGCGGAACAUUAGCUAGAUGGCGGGGUAACGGCCCACCAUGGCGACGAUGUUUAGGGGAUCUGAGAGGAUGGCCCCCCACACUGGUACUGAGACACGGACCAGACUCCUACGGGAGGCAGCAGUAAGGAAUAUUGGUCAAUGGGCGGAAGCCUGAACCAGCCAUGCCGCGUGCAGGAAGACGGCCCUACGGGUUGUAAACUGCUUUUAUACGGGAAUAAACCCAGAUACGUGUAUCUGGCUGAAUGUACUGUAAGAAUAGGAUCGGCUAACUCCGUG